rnacentral:rRNA from 1 species
AUUGGAUGCGGGGGCUUCACCGCCUACCAAUUCCUGACAAACUCCGAAUGCUAUAUAAACUGUACAGCAGUGAGGGCAUGGGUGCUAAGGUCCAUGUCCGAGAGGGAAACAACCCGGACCACCAGCUAAGGUCCCUAAGUGUGUAUUAAGUUGAGAAAACGCGGUCGGACUGCUUUGACAGCCAGGAUGUUGGCUUGGAAGCAGCCAUUCAUUUAAAGAGUGCGUAACAGCUCACUGGUCGAGCGGUCCGGCAUGGAUAAUGAUCGGGCAUAAAUACACCACCGAAGCUGUGGACUUCCUUUGGAAGUGGUAGGGGAGCAUUGUGUUUGCGUUGAAGGUUGACUGCGAGGUCUGCUGGAGCGACCACAAAUGAAAAUGUAGGCAUAAGUAACGAUAAUGGGGGCGAGAAACCCCCACACCGAAAGACCAAGGUUUCCCCGGCUAUGCUAAUCAGCCGGGGGUUAGUCGGGACCUAAGGCGAACCCGAAAGGGGUAGUCGAUGGACAACGGGUUAAUAUUCCCGUACCCGCUCACAUUAAAAGCGACGGAGGCGCGGCGUUGGUGCGCACUGACAGAAUAGUGCGUUGAACUCUACGAAAGUAGAGGAUAGUACGAUGAGGCUACGGCCAAGUCGAUAAUCCAGCAUAGCGACUUCCUAGAAAAGCAAGUGAAGCGGCCCGUACCGUAAACCGACACAGGUGGUUGGGAUGAGGAUUCUAAGGUGCUCGAGAGAUUCAUGGCUAAGGAACUAGGCAAAAUAGGCCCGUAACUUCGGGAGAAGGGUCCCCUCACUUAGGUGAGGGCGCAGUGAAGAGGUCCAGGCGACUGUUUAUCAAAAACACAGGGCUCUGCUAAAUCGAGAGAUGAAGUAUAGGGCCUGACACCUGCCCGGUGCCGGAAGGUUAAGGGGAGACGUUAGCUUCGGCGAAGCGUUGAGCUGAAGCCCCGGUAAACGGCGGCCGUAACUAUAACGGUCCUAAGGUAGCGAAAUUCCUUGUCGGGUAAGUUCCGACCUGCACGAAUGGUGCAACGAUCUGGACACUGUCUCAGCCAUGAGCUCGGUGAAAUUGUAGUAUCGGUGAAGAUGCCGGUUACCCGCUGUGGGACGAAAAGACCCCGUGAACCUUUACUGUAGCUUAACAUUGCUUCUGGGCAAGUGACGUGUAGGAUAGGUGGGAGGCUAUGAGCCGGUGUCGCUAGGCAUCGGGGAGCCGUUGUUGAAAUACCACCCUUCACUUGCUUAGGAUCUAACCCAUUUUAUGGGAACAUUGUUUGGUGGGCAGUUUGACUGGGGUGGUCGCCUCCAAAAGAGUAACGGAGGCUUCCAAAGGUCCCCUCAGCACGCUUGGCAACCGUGCGUGGAGUGCAAUGGCACAAGGGGGCUUGACUGAGAGGCAUACAGGCCGACCAGGUACGAAAGUAGGGCAUAGUGAUCCGGUGGUUCCGCAUGGAAGGGCCAUCGCUCAAAGGAUAAAAGGUACUCCGGAUAACAGGCUGAUCUCCCCCAAGAGCUCACAUCGACGGGGGGGUUUGGCACCUCGAUGUCGGCUCGUCACAUCCUGGGGCUGGAGAAGGUCCCAAGGGUUGGGCUGUUCGCCCAUUAAAGUGGCACGCGAGCUGGGUUCAGAA